UGUUUUAUUGCAGUUUGCCAAAUAGCACUCAUUGAAGAAUUACCUACCAACAUUUGCAACAAUAAUAAGAGCAGCCGCAUAUUGUCGCUUUAACAAAAUACCAUAACAACUGCCACCGCCAAUACGAACAAAAAAAAAACCAACAAUACUUAAUAGUAAUCUUCAAUUGUCUUCAUCAAAGGAAAAAAGAAAAGAAAAACACACUAAACAAAAUCGGUGCAACAGUUUCAAAUCGGCAACAGGCGGCAGCAAUCAUUAUUUUGUAAGCUGUUUUACAAUUUAAUGGUUUUCAUGAAUGGACUUGGGCCAGACCCUCUGCCAGCAAAGGAGGCAGAGGGCCCUCCCGUUCAAGUAGAACCAGUAGAUUUAAGCUUACGUUCACCAAGAGGUAAGUCAAAU